UACGUAGGUGGCAAGCGUUGUCCGGAUUUACUGGGGCGUAAAGAGCGCGCAGGCGGUCGUGCAAGUCGCGUGUGAAAGCCCCCCGGCUCAAACUGGGGGAGGUGCGCGCGAAACGGGGGGGGCUUGAGUUCGGGAGAGGAGAGUGGAAUUCCCAGUGUAGAGGUAGAAAUUCGUAGAUAUUGGGGAAGAACCACCGGUGGCGAAGGCGGCUCUCUGGGGCCGAUA
rnacentral:rRNA from 1 species